UAUAUAUAUAUAUAUAUAUAUAUAUAUACGUACAUCAAUAAUGAUAAUGGUUCCAUUGACUCUCCAGGCAAUUAUUUUAUUACAUUUUGUUUAAUCUCAUAUACAUCAAGUGCCUGAAAUACAUAUAUAUAUAUAACCACAGGAGGUAGUGAAAUAAAUCGUGCAGAACUGCAAGCGGCGGGAGACCUCUCUCUU